rnacentral:rRNA from 1 species
GACACGCUGGCGGCGUGCUUAACACAUGCAAGUCGAACGGUAAGGCCCUUCGGGGUACACGGAGUGGCGAACGGGUGAGUAACAACGUGAGUAACCUGCCCUUGACUCUGGGAUAACAGUUGGAAACAGCUGCUAAUACCGGAUACGAACUUGGAAGGCAUCUUCCGAGUUGGAAAGCUCCGGCGGUCAAGGAUGGACUCGCGGCCUAUCAGCUUGUUGGUGAGGUAACGGCUCACCAAGGCUUCGACGGGUAGCCGGCCUGAGAGGGCGACCGGCCACACUGGGACUGAGAUACGGCCCAGACUCCUACGGGAGGCAGCAGUGGGGAAUAUUGCACAAUGGGCGAAAGCCUGAUGCAGCAACGCCGCGUGCGGGAUGACGGCCUUCGGGUUGUAAACCGCUCUCAGCAGGGACGAAGCGAAAGUGACGGUACCUGCAGAAGAAGCACCGGCCAACCUACGUG